UUCCUUCACACCAGAUUCGGAUCCUCGUAGGGACGAAGGUCCAACUCCUACAAAACCAAUAUCAGGAUGAAAGACCUAGGUUAUUGAAGGUCUUAUGAAAGAGCAGACGACGGCGCGACUCUCGCACCGGCUACGCAUCGUCAUCGUGAAUGCGACCUCGCGAGGAAUGAUUCCAAGAGCUUGCACGAGCGUCAACAGAAUCGAUGGGUCAUCCCAAAAAAGCUAGGAGUGGCGCCGGAUCCCACGAAGUGCAUCGAUGUCGCCGCGAAAUGAAACCGGAGUUGAAAGUGUAAGCGAUGAAAGCAACCUACCGGACUUGGCUGAGGCUCCAGUGGUCGUUGAAGGUGUGACCGGUGAGGGUGGAUUGAAGGGUUCGAAUGAGUUGGGGGUUGAGGAGAAGGUGACAGUUGGAGGAGUUUAUUGGUAGGUGCGUUCGUGUGAUGAAGGGUGGUUUUGGAGGUUUAUGAAUUGAAUAUUGCCGGAUUUUUUGUUAUGGAAGUUGGAGGAUGAAAAAAGGUUGGUUGAAGAUGAUGGAGAGGGUUUGGCUGGUCGUCAAAGACGGUUCCUGUUAGCAAGGCUAUGCAGUCUUUUUAGGUUCUGUUAGGGAGUGGAGAUUCGUUUGACGAGGGAGGUUCUUGGAGUAUUGGUUGAAGAGGAAUGAAGAAUUUCUGUUAGGAAUAUUUUUGAAGGUUGAGGGUGAGAGGGAUGGAGGGUGAAGUUAAAAGGUGAAGUUGGAGGGAGUGAAGGAGUGUCUUCGGAGAGUGGAGGGUUGUGAGCGUUUGUAGUGAAGGCUGGAGUAGUUGGUUAUGAUGGAGGAUUGAAGUUAGUUAGAGGUUAUUAGCUUUCAGUUAGCAGUCGUUAUGACAGUUGGAGAAUUCGAUUAUAUUGGAGGUCGUUUGGAAGUCAGUCACAGGGACUGUUAUGGUAGAUUUUUUUUCCUUUUUGAUUUCUCGAUCCUCCCCGCUUACAUUUCUGUUAGCUGUUGUUUUCAGGAGUUCAGGGUUGGCGAAGUAUGGCUGUUGUAGGAGGUUGGUUAGGAGUAGGGGAUUGAAGAAGUUCAAUCCGUUUAUGAGGCUGGUUAGUUGGUUUUGAAGAGGAACCAAAAGGAAGUUCAGUUUUGUUGGGUUGGAUUCUAUUGAGUGUUGGCUGCAAUUCGGUUAGAAGUUGUUUUGAGAGGUUGGAAAUGGUUUCUGUUAUGACAGUUGGGAAGGGUUACUGAUGUGUGGUUCGAAGGUUUUUGGGGGAAGUUAAUUGUGGCACUUUUUCAGGUUGUAUCUGUCUCAUGGCUUUAAGUUCCAUUUCUGUAAUAUCGUUUCCAAUUCUGUUGGAGUUUCGGUUUGGAGGAAGUUGGGAAUUUGGUUACAAAUGGUUGGAAUUAUGGAGUUGGUUUGUUGGUUACCGUUAACCGUCAAUUCUGUUAUGAGUUUGCUUCUUGAAUUUUGUUACAGUUUAUCUCACUGUUAUGUGAGGUUGUUUAUAUGUUAUUGUUUCCGUUAGAAUUAUAUGGAGAAAUGGUUGAAGAGUGAAGCCAGUGAUUAGGAGCUAACUUGGUUCUGUUGGUGGAAUUAAAAAAAUGCUUAUUAUUUUAUGCAGGUUAGGCUUUUACUGUAGAAAAUGCAAGGCUUGAAUCAUGUUUGAUCUUUUGUGCAAGUUGAAUGCUACGACCGAAUGAAAUUUGGAUUGGCUCAAUUUGGUUUGCAUUGCUUGGAACUGGAUGCAAGGAUUGCUUGAUGGACAUUUUCUCCUGGCGAUUUGAAAUAAGCUUUGUAGGGUUUACGGUUAGGAUUGAGUGUAACUUAGGUCAUACGGUUUCAUGUUAUGUAUGGUGGGUGACCAUGGUUUGAAACGUUUGGUUUUCUUUGAAUGCAUAAGUUGAUUUAAAAUUGCAAUUUGAAUGGUAUGUUUGUAAUUGGAUUUUGGUUGUGAUUGUAUGAUGUAAAAAAUGAAAUCAGAAAUUUGGAAUUUGGAAUUA